UACGGAGGGUGCAAACGUUGCUCGGAAUCAUUGGGCGUAAAGCGCACGUAGGUGGCCUGUUAAGUCGGGUGUGAAAUCCCUGGGCUCAACCCAGGAAGUGCACUCGAAACUGGCAGGCUUGAGUACUGAAGAGGGUCGCGGAAUUCCCGGUGUAGAGGUGAAAUUCGUAGAUAUCGGGAGGAACACCAGUGGCGAAGGCGGCGACCUGGGCAGAUACUGACACUGAGGUGCGAAAGCCAGGGGAGCAAACGGG
rnacentral:rRNA from 1 species